AUUCUUCGGUGAAGAGGAACUCCGGAGAGGUUGGGAGCUGGUAGAGGUUCUGGAUUGGAAUGUUUAGAUCUUGAUAAGGGUUGUAGAGGCGGCCCUGUGGGGAUUGGGUGUGGUGCGGCUCGUGAUCUGAACCAGAGCGAGCCAUUUUAGUUAGGGUUAAGGUCAGGUAGAGGUGGAAUCUGGUUGCAGAGAGCCUUAAGAGUUUUUUUUU
rnacentral:misc_RNA from 1 species